GACGAACGCUGGCGGCGUGCUUAACACAUGCAAGUCGAACGGAAAGGCCCUGCUUUUGUGGGGUGCUCGAGUGGCGAACGGGUGAGUAACACGUGAGUAACCUGCCCUUGACUUUGGGAUAACUUCAGGAAACUGGGGCUAAUACCGGAUAGGAGCUCCUGCUGCAUGGUGGGGGUUGGAAAGUUUCGGCGGUUGGGGAUGGACUCGCGGCUUAUCAGCUUGUUGGUGGGGUAGUGGCUUACCAAGGCUUUGACGGGUAGCCGGCCUGAGAGGGUGACCGGGCCAAAUGGGACUGGGGAACGGGCCAGAACCCCUAGGGGGGGAGGAGGGGGGAAUUUUGCACAAAGGGGGGGAGGCUGGUGCGAGAACCGCCGGGGGGGGAAUGAGGGCCUUGGGUUGGAAAACCGUUUUGGCUGUUAACAAGGGGGAGGGAAGGGAAAGGGGUAAAAAACAACCGGUUAAUUAGGG
rnacentral:rRNA from 1 species